CUCAUCCCUUUCAUCCAGCUGGUCAGCCGGUCGACGCCGAACCUCAAUGCUGCAGCAAUCACCGUGCUUGUUGAUCGGUGGAGGACGGAGACACACAGUUUCCAUCUUCGGACUGGGGAGAUGACUAUGAGGCUCCAGGAUAUUGCUAUGAUCACCGGUCUUCCUAUCGAGGGGAAUCCCCUUUUGUAUGAGCACCGAUUCUGA
rnacentral:rRNA from 1 species